CUCCAACCCUGUUCCUGGAGAACUACCCUCCUGUAGGUUUUAACUCCAACCCUGUUCCUGGAGAGAUACCCUCCUGUAGGUUUAUACUCCAACCCUGUUCCUGGAGAGCUACCCUCCUGUAGGUUUUAACUCCAACCCUGUUCCUGGAGAGAUAUCCUCCUGUAGGUUUUAACUCCAACCCUGUUCCUGGAGAGAUACCCUCCUGUAGGUUUUAACUCCAACCCUGUUCCUGGAGAGAUGCCCUCCUGUAGGUUUUAACUCCAACCCUGUUCCUGGAGAGCUACCCUCCUGUAGGUUUUAACUCCAACCCUGUUCCUGGAGAGAUACCCUCCUGUAGGUUUUAACUCCAACCCUGUUCCUGG
rnacentral:lncRNA from 1 species